rnacentral:rRNA from 1 species
CCUUAGUAACGGCGAGUGAAGCGGCAACAGCUCAAAUUUGAAAUCUGGCUCUUUCAGAGUCCGAGUUGUAAUUUGCAGAGGGCGCUUUGGCUUUGGCAGCGGUCCAAGUUCCUUGGAACAGGACGUCACAGAGGGUGAGAAUCCCGUACGUGGUCGCUAGCUAUUGCCGUGUAAAGCCCCUUCGACGAGUCGAGUUGUUUGGGAAUGCAGCUCUAAAUGGGAGGUAAAUUUCUUCUAAAGCUAAAUAUUGGCCAGAGACCGAUAGCGCACAAGUAGAGUGAUCGAAAGAUGAAAAGCACUUUGGAAAGAGAGUCAAACAGCACGUGAAAUUGUUGAAAGGGAAGCGCUUGCAGCCAGACUUGCUUGCAGUUGCUCAUCCGGGCUUUUGCCCGGUGCACUCUUCUGCAGGCAGGCCAGCAUCAGUUUGGGCGGUGGGAUAAAGGUCUCUGACACGUUCCUUCCUUCGGGUUGGCCAUAUAGGGGAGACGUCAUACCACCAGCCUGGACUGAGGUCCGCGCAUCUGCUAGGAUGCUGGCGUAAUGGCUGUAAGCGGGCCCGUCUUGAAACACGGACCAAGGAGUCUAACAUCUAUGCGAGUGUUUGGGGUGUCAAGCCCGAGCGCGUAAUGAAAAGUGAACGGAGGUGGGAAACCCGCAAGGGCGCACCAUCGACCGAUCCUGAAGUUUACGGAAAGGAUUUGAGUAAGAGCAUGGGCUGUUGGGACCCGGAAAGAUGGUGAACUAUGCUUGAAUAGGGUGAAGCCAGAGGAAACUCUGGUGGAGGCUCGCAGCGGUUCUGACGUGCAAAUCGAUCGUCAAAUUUGGGCAUAGGGGCGAAAGACUAAUCGAACUAUCUAGUAGCUGGUUCCUGCCGAAGUUUCCCUCAGGAUAGCAGUAACGUAUUCAGUUUUAUGAGGUAAAGCGAAUGAUUAGAGGCAUGGGGGUUGAAACAACCUUCACCUAUUCUCAAACUUUAAAUAUGUAAGAAGCCCUUUGUUACUUAAUUGAACGCGGGCAUUUGAAUGAAACGUUAUUAGUGGGCCAUUUUUGGUAAGCAGAACUGGCGAUGCGGGAUGAACCGAACGAGGGGUUACGGUGCCGGAGUACACGCUCAUCAGACACCACAAAAGGUGUUGGUUCAUCUAGACAGCAGGACGGUGGCCAUGGAAGUCGGAAUCCGCUAAGGAGUGUGUAACAACUCACCUGCCGAAUGAACUAGCCCUGAAAAUGGAUGGCGCUCAAGCGUGUCACCUAUACCCCUCCGCCGGGGCAAAAUUUACGCCCCGGCGAGUAGGCAGGCGUGGAGGCUCGUGACGAAGCCUUUGG